GACAGAGGUGCCAAGCGUUAGGCGGAAUCACUGGGCUUAAAGCGUGUGUAGGCGGACUUCUAAGUACCUUGUGAAAUCCCCCGGCUCAACCGGGGAACGGCUGGGUAUACUGGGAGUCUUGAGCCAGCUAGGGGUCGCCGGAACAAGUGGUGGAGCGGUGAAAUGCGUAGAUAUCACUUGGAACGCCAAUGGUGAAAACAGGCGACUGGGGCUGUGCUGACGCUGAGACACGAAAGCCAGGGGAGCAAACGGG
rnacentral:rRNA from 1 species